rnacentral:lncRNA from 1 species
UCCAGAUUCACAGGUUUUGUGGUUAUCGAUGUCGAGUCGUCGGUGAAGCUCUGCUCUGAUUGUGACACGGGAAAUGGUUGUAUUUAGUAUAUAGAGUCUUCAUGACUAUUUGUAUUUACUUUGGAAAAUGUAUCUUUAUAAAGAAGAUUUAUUUUGUAUAAAGCAUUUUUACUAAUUAACUACAUUAGUAUUAUUUUGAUUGAAGAAUGUAAUGCUCGAACCAUGACUUUUAUAAUAAUAAACUUUGAUUUUCCGCCG